CAGGCUUAACACAUGCAAGUCGAGGGGCAGCAUGGUCUUAGCUUGCUAAGGCCGAUGGCGACCGGCGCACGGGUGAGUAACACGUAUCCAACCUGCCGUCUACUCUUGGACAGCCUUCUGAAAGGAAGAUUAAUACAAGAUGGCAUCAUGAGUCCGCAUGUUCACAUGAUUAAAGGUAUUCCGGUAGACGAUGGGGAUGCGUUCCAUUAGAUAGUAGGCGGGGUAACGGCCCACCUAGUCUUCGAUGGAUAGGGGUUCUGAGAGGAAGGUCCCCCACAUUGGAACUGAGACACGGUCCAAACUCCUACGGGAGGCAGCAGUGAGGAAUAUUGGUCAAUGGGCGAGAGCCUGAACCAGCCAAGUAGCGUGAAGGAUGACUGCCCUAUGGGUUGUAAACUUCUUUUAUAAAGGAAUAAAGUCGGGUAUGGAUACCCGUUUGCAUGUACUUUAUGAAUAAGGAUCGGCUAACUCCGUGCCAGCAGCCGCGGUAAUACGGAGGAUCCGAGCGUUAUCCGGAUUUAUUGGGUUUAAAGGGAGCGUAGAUGGAUGUUUAAGUCAGUUGUGAAAGUUUGCGGCUCAACCGUAAAAUUGCAGUUGAUACUGGAUAUCUUGAGUGCAGUUGAGGCAGGCGGAAUUCGUGGUGUAGCGGUGAAAUGCUUAGAUAUCACGAAGAACUCCGAUUGCGAAGGCAGCCUGCUAAGCUGCAACUGACAUUGAGGCUCGAAAGUGUGGGUAUCAAACAGGAUUAGAUACCCUGGUAGUCCACACGGUAAACGAUGAAUACUCGCUGUUUGCGAUAUACUGCAAGCGGCCAAGCGAAAGCGUUAAGUAUUCCACCUGGGGAGUACGCCGGCAACGGUGAAACUCAAAGGAAUUGACGGGGGCCCGCACAAGCGGAGGAGCAUGUGGUUUAAUUCGAUGAUACGCGAGGAACCUUACCCGGGCUUAAAUUGCAGAUGAAUUACGGUGAAAGCCGUAAGCCGCAAGGCAUCUGUGAAGGUGCUGCAUGGUUGUCGUCAGCUCGUGCCGUGAGGUGUCGGCUUAAGUGCCAUAACGAGCGCAACCCUUGUUGUCAGUUACUAACAGGUUCCGCUGAGGACUCUGACAAGACUGCCAUCGUAAGAUGUGAGGAAGGUGGGGAUGACGUCAAAUCAGCACGGCCCUUACGUCCGGGGCUACACACGUGUUACAAUGGGGGGUACAGAGGGCCGCUACCACGCGAGUGGAUGCCAAUCCCCAAAACCUCUCUCAGUUCGGACUGGAGUCUGCAACCCGACUCCACGAAGCUGGAUUCGCUAGUAAUCGCGCAUCAGCCACGGCGCGGUGAAUACGUUCCCGGGCCUUGCACACACCGCCCGUCAAGCCAUGGGAGCCGGGGGUACCUGAAGUGCGUAACCGCGAGGAGCGCCCUAGGGUAAAACUGGUGACUGGGGCUAAGA
rnacentral:rRNA from 1 species